UACGGAGGGUGCAAGCGUUAUCCGGAUUUACUGGGUUUAAAGGGUGCGCAGGCGGAUAUGUAAGUCAGUGGUGAAAUCUCCGGGCUUAACCCGGAACUGCCGUUGAUCUAUAUAUCUUGAAUCCUGGAGGUAAAGCGGAAUAUGUCAUGUAGCGGUGAAAUGCUUAGAUAUGAACAUAGAACACCUAUUGCGAAGGCAGCUUACUACACGGAGAUUGCGCUUCA
rnacentral:rRNA from 1 species